UGCCAGCCGCCGCGGUAAUACGGAGGGUGCAAGCGUUGUUCGGAAUUAUUGGGCGUAAAGAGCAUGUAGGCGGACUGUUAAGUCUGAUGUGAAAGCCCGGGGCUCAACCCCGGAAGUGCAUUGGAUACUGGCAGUCUUGAGUAUGGGAGAGGAAAGUGGAAUUCCGAGUGUAGCGAUGAAAUGCGUAGAAAUUGCUUAGGGACCACCAAUUGGCGAAGGCAAUUGUCUAUCUUUUACUGACGUUGAGGCACAAAAGCGUGGGUAGCAAACAGGAUUAGAUA
rnacentral:rRNA from 1 species